rnacentral:rRNA from 1 species
GAUGAACGCUGGCGGCGUGCCUAAUACAUGCAAGUCGAGCGGAUUUUCGGAAGCUUGCUUCCGAAAAUUAGCGGCGGACGGGUGAGUAACACGUGGGCAACCUGCCUGUAAGACUGGGAUAACUUCGGGAAACCGGAGUUAAUACCGGAUACAUUCUUCCCUCGCAUGAGGGAAGAUGGAAAGACGGUUUUGCUGUCACUUACAGAUGGGCCCGCGGCGCAUUAGCUAGUUGGUGGGGUAAUGGCCCACCAAGGCGACGAUGCGUAGCCGACCUGAGAGGGUGAUCGGCCACACUGGGACUGAGACACGGCCCAGACUCCUACGGGAGGCAGCAGUAGGGAAUCUUCCGCAAUGGACGAAAGUCUGACGGAGCAACGCCGCGUGAGCGAAGAAGGCCUUCGGGUCGUAAAGCUCUGUUGUCAGGGAAGAACAAGUACCAUAGUAACUGAUGGUACCUUGACGGUACCUGACCAGGAAGCCACGGCUAACUACGUGCCAGCCGCCGCCGUAAGAC